AUGCAACCUGGUGAAAGAACUGUCCUGAAGAGGAGUUCCUCUAGAUCUCAGAGGGAAUGUUUCUGUCCUCUGCUCUCCGUGAGUGCUGUGCAAAGCACUACGUACAUAGAGCAUUUUGUAAUGCCCAGAAAUGUGUAAAAAGCCUGAAUGUCUGUGGACUAGCAACUUCUUCCAGCCAGCUGAUUGUAAGGAGAAACCCUCAGCAUUUUGUUAAGCAGACACGAGGGGUUAAAUCCCACAAGCAUAGGCAACAGGAGGAAUGGAAGCAAAAAAACAAGACCGUCUUGACGUAUAUUGCAGCAGCCGGCGUCGGGAUGAUCGGCAUGUCGUAUGCUGCAGUGCCACUCUACAGACUGUACUGCCAGGCAUCCGGACUGGGAGGCACAGCAACAGCAGGACACGAUUCAGAUUUAGUGGAGACAAUGCAGCCGGUUAAGGAGCGGAUUAUCAAAGUCACCUUCAAUGCCGACACGCACGCCAGCCUCCAGUGGAACUUUCGUCCUCAGCAGUCCGAGAUCUAUAUUGUGCCAGGAGAAACUGCACUGGCAUUUUACACAGCCCAGAAUCCCACAGAUAAACCUGUAAUAGGAAUCUCUACAUACAAUGUUGUGCCAUUUGAAGCUGGCCAGUACUUUAACAAGAUUCAGUUACAGUUGGGUUUAAUAUGGAAAAGACUAUUAAUGAUCCCAAAGUAGAAGAGACUGCAUGCUUGACCCAAAGUUCCAGAAUGCACCGCAGCUAUACAAAGGUGCUGAAGCAAAUGCUCUGCUCAGCUUCUUGAUGAUCCAUGAAGUUCCAACGUUGAAGCUUUGUAGCCUGGUCUAUUUGAGCCGACUGUACUGAGAGUGUGUGAGAGAGCUGAACAGACUAAAGAGAUAGAGUGUUGGUGCAUGAUUCUUUUUAAGUAGAGAUGAAGCAGGGACUAAAUUCCUCUUACAACAUUACCGACAGUGCUUCUGCUUUGAGGAACAGAGGUUAAACCCUCAUGAAGAGGUGGACAUGCCUGUUUUCUUUUAUAUUGACCCAGAGUUUGAUGAAGAUCCCAGGAUGGCUCGAGUUGACACAAUCACACUUUCCUAUACC